AGUCCAGGACCAGGGCGUCCAUCGCGGUGUCCUCCUUCGACCACUCCACGCCCUUUAAGCGGCCUCACUCCACCAUCUCCAACAGUAGCACCUCCUCUUCCUCCUCCCAGUCCUCUUCCUCACUGCUGGGCUCCCUCAACCUGCACCUGUACCCCUCACCUGCCCACCAGCACCCCCACGCCCACGCCCCACCAGCACCCAUACCCCCUGGGCAGCGUACCCUCCUUCAGCCACUGGCCCUACGACUGCAUUGAGGAGGACGAGCUGGAGCAAGACGCGGGCAGCCAGCCUUCUAUGAUCACAGAGAGCUCGGGGAGACGUCGUCCCAGUGUACCUCCAGUGACAAUGUGACGGGUCUGAACAGCCUCACCAUCCCCAUCCCAGGCCACGGCCGCCCCAACAUCAUCAUCGAUGCCUUACCCAGCGACUCCACUUCCUCCUUCCUGUGUUCGUCCACGCCUCCCGGCUCCUCCCACCCUCAGAUGGCCCCUCCCCAGCCCUGUUCCCUAAGGACCAGGUCCUCCAAGCCCAGGGCAGCACCUUCAUCACAGCACUGUGAGGCCACUGCACUGAGAACUGGUGUUACGGAGGAUCAGUAUGGACUUGUGAGUGAGGAAGCUAUCCUGUUAAGCAUGCUCAGUGACGCCUGUAACACUGGGCACUCUACUGUGUCUCUACUGUGUCUCUACUGGACUCUACUGGACUACUGGUCUCCACUCUGUCUCCACUGGACUCUACUGGACUCUACUGUGUCUUCACUGUGUCUCUACUGGACUCUACUGCACUAGUGGUCUCCACUCUGUCUCCACUGGACUCUACUGGACUCUACUGUGUCUUCACUGUGUCUCUACUGGACUCUACUGCACUACUGGUCUCCACUCUGUCUCCACUGGACUCUACUGGACUCUACUGUGUCUUCACUGUGUCUCUACUGGACUCUACUGCACUACUGGUCUCCACUCUGUCUCCACUGGACUCUACUGGUCUCUACUGUGCCUCCACUGGACUCUACUGGACUACUGGUCUCCACUCUGUCUCCACUGGACUCUACUGGACUACUGGUCUCCACUCUGUCUCUACUGGUCUCUACUGUGUCUCUACUGGACUCUACUGGUCUCUACUGGUAUCUACUGUGUCUCUACUGGUCUCUACUGGACUCUACUGGACUACUGGUCUCCACUCUGUUUCUACUGGACUCUACUGGUCUCUACUGGACUCUACCGGUCUCUACCGGUCUCUACUGGACUCUACUGGACUCUACUGAUCUCUACGGGACUACUGGUCUCCACUCUGUCUCCACUGGACUCUACUGGACUCUACUGUGUCUCUACUGGACUCUACUGGACUCUACUGUGUCUCGACUAGACUCUACUGGACUCUACUGUGUCUUUACUGGACUCUACUGGACUCUACUGUGUCUCUACUGUGUCUCUACUGGACUCUACUGUGUCUUUACUGGACUCUACUGGUCUCUACUGGACUCUACUGGACUCUACUGUGUCUCUGCUGGACUCUACUGGACUCUAGUGUGUCUCUACUGUGUCUCUACUGUGUCUCUACUGGACUCUACUGGACUCUACUGGUCUCUAUUGGACUCUACUGUGUCUCUACUGUGUCUCUACUGGACUCUACUGUGUCUUUACUGGACUCUACUGGUCUCUACUGGACUCUAGUGUGUCUCUACUGUGUCUCUACUGGACUCUACUGGACUCUACUGUGUCUCUACUGGGCUCUACUGGACUCUACUGGUCUCUAUUGGACUCUACUGUGUCUCUACUGGACUCUACUGGACUCUACUGGAUUCUGAAAACAACAGACACACAACAGACCACUCUGACAACAGACAUAUAAUAGACCAUUCUGACAACAACAGACCACUCUGACAACAACAGACGCACAACUGACCACUCGGACAACAACAGACACACAACAGACCACUCUGACAACAACAGACCACUCUGACAACAACAGACCACUCUGACGACAAAAGACCACUCUGACAACAACAGACCACUCUGACAACAACAGACCACUCUGACGACAAAAGACCACUCUGACGACAAAAGACCACUCUGACAACAACAGACCACUCUGACGACAACAGACCACUCUGACGACAAUAGACCACUCGGACAACAACAGACCACUCUGAAAACAACAGACACACAACAGACCACUCUGACAACAACAGACCACUCUGACAACAACAGACCACUCUGACAACAACAGACCACUCUGACAACAACAGACCACUCUGACGACAAAAGACCACUCUGACAACAACAGACCACUCUGACAACAACAGACCACUCUGACGACAAAAGACCACUCUGACAACAACAGACCACUCUGACAACAACAGACCACUCUGACGACAAAAGACCACUCUGACAACAACAGACACACAACAAACCCUCGCCCCUUGAGACUGAUGGCCUUUGGCAUUUCAUAACGAUGAGUGAAAAUUUGAC
rnacentral:lncRNA from 1 species